GUUUAUCGCUGUCUUUGGCUGAUACUUUUUUAUUGAAAUUGUUUUAUAUAACUAUCAAACUAUCACACUACAUAGUAAAAUAAAGCAACAACGUCAUAGUUAUUAUUGACAAAAAUCUAAUACAAAAGAUGUCAGACUAUACGAUUUCAUCAUAAGCACAAAAUUAAAUGUAGCCAUUUUCAUUUUUAAGUUGGCAA